rnacentral:rRNA from 1 species
AUUGAACGCUGGCGGCAUGCCUUACGCAUGCAAGUCGAACGGUAACAGGUCUUCGGAUGCUGACGAGUGGCGAACGGGUGAGUAAUACAUCGGAACGUGCCCGAGAGUGGGGGAUAACGAGGCGAAAGCUUUGCUAAUACCGCAUACGAUCUCAGGAUGAAAGCAGGGGACCGCAAGGCCUUGCGCUCACGGAGCGGCCGAUGGCAGAUUAGGUAGUUGGUGGGAUAAAAGCUUACCAAGCCGACGAUCUGUAGCUGGUCUGAGGACGACCAGCCACCCUGGGACUGAGACACGGCCCAGACUCCUACGGGAGGCAGCAGUGGGGAAUUUUGGACAAUGGGCGCAAGCCUGAUCCAGCCAUGCCGCGUGCAGGAUGAAGGCCUUCGGGUUGUAAACUGCUUUUGUACGGAACGAAAAGACUCUGGUUAAUACCUGGGGUCCAUGACGGUACCGUAAGAAUAAGCACCGGCUAACUACGUGCCAGCAGCCGCCGUAACAC